GUCAAAUAAGAACCCAUUAUGCCCCGCUUCAACAUUAUGUGUGGGUCCUUAUCUAUAAAUUAUUUACAGUACAUUGUCCGUAUUUUUAAUCCGAGCGGGACUUUCGCGGCACAUGAAACAUUAACGUUUCCCUCGCUUUGACCCUCCCCCGCUCCACUGUGUGUGUCUGUCAACCACUGUGUGAACAAGUAAAAGUUUAACGUUAAUCUCCUCCAGCUCCGCUUUGUGUAAAAGAUUUCUAACAGUGCAAACAACAGUUGGACGUCUCAGAAGACACCAAAGAAAGCCACGCAGUCUUGCUAGCCUUUACAUCUCCUUACUACUGCAAAGUAUCUGGUCCCUGCAUCUACAGUCUCGGAGAUUGCAAGUGAAAUGAGAUUACUACAGGAUAUGCAGCAUGAGUUUACUAUGGAUUUGUUUUCAAGAGGUCUCCAAGAAUAUGGUGUGCAAGAUGAGGCUUUACAAAAUCUAGGGAAAUGUGCAUAUGAACAAAGCCCUAUGCAGCGCACUCUACGUGCAAGUAGUGGCACCUUAACCACACACCACAAAAGACUUCAGAUUUACAGGAGAGAAUUCAACUUGGUAGAACCAGUACAAAUAACUUUAGGCCAUGAUGACAAAGGCAAGACAAGACAUUUUCACUAUGUUCCCAUUUUAGAAAGCUUAAAAGCUAUCUUGAGAAAUGGAAGUGUACAGCAUCAAAUUCUAAAUCCUACUCAUGCUGACGAGAGCAUGCUAUGUGACAUUGGAGAUGGUUCGGUCUCUAAAUCUAAUGAACUGUUUGCCUCUGAUCCGCAUGCUCUUCAGAUCAUGUUGUUUCAAGAUGCUUUUGAAGUCGCAAACCCUCUGGGGUCCGCCAGGCUAAAACACAAAGUUCUUGCUGUGUACUACACUUUAGGUAAUGUCUAUGCACACCACCGAUCCACCGUUGACUCAAUACAGCUUGUACUACUUUGUUUGGAGAAGGACUGUAAGUUGUUUGGACCUGAGAGAGUUUUUGAUGUUUUGUUAUCAGACUUGUGUGACCUGGAGUCAACAGGCAUUUGUGUUGAAGGGAAAACCUUCAGAGGUAGUAUUGCCUGUGUCAUUGGAGACAAUCUUGGGUCUCACUAUC